rnacentral:rRNA from 1 species
CGAACGCUGGCGGCGUGCUUAACACAUGCAAGUCAAGGAGAACAUUUCNUUCGGGAAAUUAUUAAACUGGCGAACGGGUGAGUAACGCGUAGGCAACCUGCCCUAGAGAUUGGGAUAACUCCGGGAAACCGGUGCUAAUACCGAAUAAUGCAGCGGAUCCUUCGGGAUACAGUUGUUAAAGCGGGCUUCGGCUCGCACUUUAGGAUGGGCCUGCGUCCGAUUAGCUUGUUGGUAGGGUAACGGCUUACCAAGGCGAUGAUCGGUAGCUGGUCUGAGAGGAUGAUCAGCCACACUGGGAUUGAGAUACGGCCCAGACUCCUACGGGAGGCAGCAGUGGGGAAUUUUGCGCAAUGGGGGAAACCCUGACGCAGCAACGCCGCGUGACCGAUGAAGCUUUUAGGAGCGUAAAGGUCUGUCGUAAGGGAAGAAAAGUUUGGAUGUAAAUAAUGUUCGAACCUGACGGUACCUUACAAGAAAGCACCGGCUAACUUAGUGCCAGCAGCCGCGGUAAUACUAGGGGUGCGAGCGUUGUCCGGAAUCAUUGGGCGUAAAGGGUCCGUAGGCGUCCCAAAAAGUCAUUUGUUAAAUACACCGGCUUAACCGGUGGCCUGCAUUUGAAACUGUUGGGAUAGAGUAUAGGAGAGGAAAGUGGAAUUCCUGGUGUAGCGGUGACAUGCGUAGAUAUCAGGAGGAACACCAAUGGCGAAGGCAGCUUUCUGGCCUAUUACUGACGCUGAGGGACGAAAGCGUGGGGAGCGAACAGGAUUAGAUACCCUGGUAGUCCACGCCGUAAACGAUGAGUACUUGGUGUCGGGGGAAUCGACCCCCUCGGUACCGGAGCUAACGCAUUAAGUACUCCGCCUGGGAACUACGACCGC